rnacentral:rRNA from 1 species
AAAGUUCCCUUCGGGGAGCGAGUAGAGUGGCGCACGGGUGAGUAACACGUAGGUAAUCUACCUUUGGAUUGGGAAUAACAACCGGAAACGGUUGCUAAUACCGAAUAAUGCAGCGGCACCUAAUGGUGACAGUUGUUAAAGCGGGGGAUCGCAAGACCUCGCGUCUAAAGAGGAGCCUGCGGCGGAUUAGCUAGUUGGUAAGGUAACGGCUUACCAAGGCGAUGAUCCGUAGCCGGCCUGAGAGGGCGGUCGGCCACACUGACACUGACAUACGGGUCAGACUCCUACGGGAGGCAGCAGUCGGGAAUUUUGGGCAAUGGGCGAAAGCCUGACCCAGCAACGCCGCGUGAAGGAUGAAAUCCUUCGGGAUGUAAACUUCGCAAGAACAGGAAGAAUAAGUAAGAGUUAAUAUCUCUUACGAUGACGGUACUGUUUGUAAGCUCCGGCUAACUCCGUGCCAGCAGCCGCGGUAAUACGGGGGGAGCAAGCGUUGUUCGGAUUUACUGGGCGUAAAGGGCGGGUAGGCGGCCACCGCAAGUCAGUUGUGAAAUCUCCGGGCUUAACCCGGAAAGGUCAACUGAUACUGCGGGGCUAGAGUGCAGAAGGGGCAACUGGAAUUCUCGGUGUAGCGGUGAAAUGCGUAGAUAUCGAGAGGAACACCUGCGGCGAAGGCGGGUUGCUGGGCUGACACUGACGCUGAACUGCGAAAGCUAGGGGAGCGAACGGGAUUAGAUACCCCGGUAGUCCUAGCCUUAAACGAUGAAUGCUUGGUGUCUGGGGUUUUAUAGUCCCCGGGUGCCGUCGCUAACGCUUUAAGCAUUCCGCCUGGGGAGUACGGUCGCAAGGCUGAAACUC